rnacentral:tRNA from 1 species
GGGGGUAUAGCUCAGCUGGUAGAGCAUCGCGUUUGCAACGCGAGGGUCAUCGGUCCGAAUCCGUUUACCUCCA